UACGUAGGGACCAAGCGUUGUUCGGAUUUACUGGGCGUAAAGAGCGCGCAGGCGGUCGAGUAAGUCGAAUGUGAAAGCCCCCGGCUUAACUGGGGAGGGUCAUUCGAUACUGUUCGACUUGAAGGCAGGAGAGGGCAGCAGAAUUCCCGGUGUAGUGGUGAAAUGCGUAGAUAUCGGGAGGAAUACCAGUGGCGAAGGCGGCUGCCUGGCCUGUUCUUGACGCUGAGGCGCGAAAGCUGGGGGAGCAAACGGGG
rnacentral:rRNA from 1 species